AAGUCGUAACAAGGUUUCCGUAAACGUUAAACAACCCUGUGAACUUUAAGUCCCCCUCUUGCAGCCCAUGAGGAACAGCAAUCCCGGUAAAUCAUUGCCAAACAGUUUUGAUUCGGGACCUCUGUCCAAAAGGAGUUGCAAUCGAAGGGUGGAAGCAGUGGCAUGGCUUCCCCAAGCAGUUAGUGAAUGACAGUGUCACUGACUGUGUAAGGAUAACGCCUCACGGUUGCUAGAGGUCGAUCACCGACCGGCAGACAUGUCACAGGGUCACCACGCCCCUUAAUCACUCCACUUGAAAAUGCCCCGCCUAGUGGUAACGCGCUAGGUAAAAAAAACCGAACAACUGUUAACAAUGGAUAUCUUGGUUCUC
rnacentral:misc_RNA from 1 species